rnacentral:rRNA from 1 species
AUUGAACGCUGGCGGAAUGCUUUACACAUGCAAGUCGAACGGCAGCACGGACUUCGGUCUGGUGGCGAGUGGCGAACGGGUGAGUAAUGUAUCGGAACGUGCCCAGUCGUGGGGGAUAACGUAGUGAAAAUUACGCUAAUACCGCAUACGAUCUAUGGAUGAAAGCGGGGGAUCGCAAGACCUCGCGCGAUUGGAGCGGCCGAGAUCAGAUUAGGUAGUUGGUGGGGUAAAGGCCCACCAAGCCAACGAUCUGUAGCUGGUCUGAGAGGACGACCAGGCACACUGGAACUGAGACACGGUCCAGACUCCUACGGGAGGCAGCAGUGGGGAAUUUUGGACAAUGGGCGAAAGCCUGAUCCAGCCAUUCCGCGUGCAGGAUGAAGGCCCUCGGGUUGUAAACUGCUUUUGUACAGAACGAAAAGGUUUCUACUAAUACUAGGAGCUCAUGACGGUACUGUAAGAAUAAGCACCGGCUAACUACGUGCCAGCCGCCGCUGUAA